AUUGAACGCUGGCGGCAUGCCUUACACAUGCAAGUCGAACGGCAGCACGGGUGCUUGCACCUGGUGGCGAGUGGCGAACGGGUGAGUAAUACAUCGGAACAUGUCCUGUAGUGGGGGAUAGCCCGGCGAAAGCCGGAUUAAUACCGCAUACGAUCUACGGAUGAAAGCGGGGGACCUUCGGGCCUCGCGCUAUAGGGUUGGCCGAUGGCUGAUUAGCUAGUUGGUGGGGUAAAGGCCUACCAAGGCGACGAUCAGUAGCUGGUCUGAGAGGACGACCAGCCACACUGGGACUGAGACACGGCCCAGACUCCUACGGGAGGCAGCAGUGGGGAAUUUUGGACAAUGGGCGAAAGCCUGAUCCAGCAAUGCCGCGUGUGUGAAGAAGGCCUUCGGGUUGUAAAGCACUUUUGUCCGGAAAGAAAGCCUUGGACCUAAUACGGUCGGGGGAUGACGGUACCGGAAGAAUAAGCACCGGCUAACUACGUG
rnacentral:rRNA from 1 species